GGGCACAUGGUGUAGUUGGUUUAUCACGCCCGCUUAGCAUUGCUUAGGCUCCUGUGUGCGGGAGGUGUUGGGUUCAAUUCCCAAUGUGUCCA